UACAGAGGGUGCGAGCGUUAAUCGGAAUUACUGGGCGUAAAGCGUGCGUAGACGGUUAUUUAAGUCGGAUGUGAAAGCCCCGGGCUCAACCUGGGAAUUGCAUUCGAGACUGAAUAGCUAGGGUACGGUAGAGGGAAGUGGAAUUUCCGGUGUAGAGGUGAAAUUCGUAGAUAUUCGGAAGAACACCAGUGGCGAAGGCGACUUACUGGACACAUAUUGACGCUGAGGUGCGAAAGCGUGGGGAGCAAACAGG
rnacentral:rRNA from 1 species